UAUCAAAUUCUAGCUGAUUCUGGUUGUUUUACAACUCCGCUCUUGGCUUGACUUGUGUAGUUGAGUUAGAUAAAUUGAUUUAGUGGUAAAAAUUAUUGGAUAGAUAUAUGAAAUGAUGUAUUAGAUGUUGCCUUUGUGUUUGUUAUUUUGAGGUUAGGCAACUUAUGAACUUAGAUAGUUAUUUUGGAUAUUUUAACGGUUUCAGCUGAGUGUCGUUGAUUUUGGUUUUAGGGAAACCAUAUUCAGGUUUCAUAUGCAUAUUCAGAUCAAAUUCCAAGAUACAUUUUUUGGUCCAUUCCUAUUGUUUAUAUCUCAUUAAAUGUAUGUUUCUUCUAUGAAUUUUAUGUUGCUUAAAUGAUCCAUUUUUGAGUUGGACCUUAACAAAUCUCACCUUUAGAAAGGCACAUGAUCCAUUUUCUGUUUAUAAUCACUGUGUAUGUUAGGCUUUUUUUAUUGAGGUGUUUAAAAUUGAUUUUAGAAUGGUUUCAGAGAGUUGUACUCUAAAACCAUUUAGCUGGUAGAAUGGUUUCAGAGAGUUGUACUCUGAAACCAUUUUGCUGAUAGAAUGGUUUCAGGUAGUUGAUGUUUAAUUGUUGCUUACUAAACCAUUUUGCUGGUAGAAUGAUUUCAAAUGAUUAUGUACCAGUUACAUCCUUAGUUUAGGCCAUUUGGAGGAACUACAGAAUUAACAUCAGUUCAUUUAUCUUAUCAAUCAAUUAUGAUUAUCUUUUUUUGUAAAACUUAUAGAUUGUUGGAGAUAAUAUGCAAGGUGCUAGAUUGCCUCUUGAAACCUAACAUCAAAGAGAAAAUAUCAAGUAUGUUAACUUCAUUUUGUCAUGGACAAUGCUUCUUAAUAAUGCACUUCUUCUUAAAGUAUGAUUUAUUUUUGACAAUUUUGCGCAAAGGGAUUGAUAUAGGUUGUUUUUACUUGUAGGCUUGAUGCUACUUGCAUCUCUUGGAAGCGAAUGCGAGGAAACUAUGUUAAAACAAUUGAUGUUGUUGGGGUUUGGCAAGAGAACAAUGUUGUUGAAACUGAAAAGACCAUUGAAGCUCUUAAAAGAGUUGCAUAGUAAAUUUAGAAAAGUUCUCAGAAUUGAUGUUAUUCAUGUUGUAUAAAUUGUUGUAGACCUUUGGAUGUAUUUAUAUAUUUUAAGUUAUUUUAUGUGUCAUCUUGGGUAGAAAUUGUAAUAUCACCACAUACAUAUUGUAAAGAAUUUAGACCUAUAUUUGUGUAUUGUCGAUUAAUGCAAUUAGAUUUCUAAUGAUUUUGCAAUAUCAUUUUUCUGGUUUCAA
rnacentral:lncRNA from 1 species